UUUACAACCCUUACCGAAAGCAAUUGGAGGGCAAGUCUGGUGCCAGCAGCCGCGGUAAUUCCAGCUCCAAUAGCGUAUAUUAAAGUUGUUGCAGUUAAAAAGCUCGUAGUUGAAGUUCUGAUUGUUCGGGCCUCGCGCUUUAUAGCCGAGGAACCGACAGUCAUCCGCUUGCAAAUAUAUGUUCGCCUUUAACCGGGUGGCUAUAUGAGUAAGCAAUUUACCUUGAGAAAAACAGAGUGUUCCAGGCAGGUUUGUCCGGAAUGCAUUAGCAUGGAAUAAUAGAAUAUGACUGAAGUCGAUUUAUUGGUUUAAGGCUUUAGUAAUGAUUAAUAGGAACAGUCGGGGGCAUUGGUACUUGACAGUCAGAGGUGAAAUUCUAGGAUUUGUCAAAGACUAACAAAUGCGAAAGCAUUUGCCAAGGAUGUUUUCAUUAAUCAAGAACGAAAGUUAGGGGAUCAAAGACGAUCAGAUACCGUCCUAGUCUUAACUAUAAACUAUACCGACUCGGAUUCAGAUGAAUCAAAAAGUUCAUUUGGGACCGUAGGAGAAAUCAAAGUUUUUGGGUUCUGGGGGAAGUAUGGUCGCAAGGCUGAAACUUAAAGGAAUUGACGGUUUUGCACCACCAUGGAGUGGAGUUUGCGGCUUAAUUUGACCCAACACUGGGAAACUCAUCAGGGCAAGAAGAUUUUAGGAUUGACAGAUUGAGAGUUCUUUCUUGAUUGGUCUAGUGGUGGUGCAUGGCCGUUCUUAGUUGGUGGAGUGAUUUGUCUGGUUAAUUCCGUUAACGAACGAGACCUUAACCUGCUAACUAGUAUUAGUAUCCCAAAUACUAACUACUUCUUAGAGGGACUAUGUGAUGUAAUCACAUGGAAGUUUGAGGCAAUAACAGGUCUGUGAUGCCCUUAGAUGUCCUGAGCUGCACGCGUACUACAAUGGCACUUUCAACGGGCAUUUCCUGAUCCGAAAGGAUUUGGGUAAUCUUUUUAGUGAGUGCCGUGAUUGGGAUAGAUCUUUGUAAUUAUGGAUCUUGAACUAGGAAUUCCUAGUAAGCGCGAGUCAUCAGCUCGUGCUGAUUACGUCCCUGCAAAAUGUACACACCGCCCGUCGCUUUUACCGAUUGAGUGCUCAGGUGAACCUUCUCGAUAGUGCAAACUAGAAAUUAAGUAAACCUUAGCACUUAGAGGAAAAAGAAGUCGUAACAAGGUUU
rnacentral:rRNA from 1 species